rnacentral:rRNA from 1 species
AUUUANUGGGCAUGGCGCAGUCUGACCCAGCCUGCCGCGUGCAGGAAGAAGGCCUUCUGGGUUGUAAACUGCUUUUAUCUAGGAAGAAAACGCCCAUGCGUGGGAAACUGACGGUACUAGAUGAAUAAGCACCGGCUAACUCCGUGCCAGCAGCCGCGGUAAUACGGAGGGUGCAAGCGUUGUCCGGAUUUAUUGGGUUUAAAGGGUGCGUAGGCNGGCCCGUUAAGUCAGUGGUGAAAGCCUCCAGCUCAACUGGAGAACUGCCAUUGAUACUGGCGGGCUUGAGUACAGACGAGGUUGGCGGAAUUGAUUGUGUAGCGGUGAAAUGCAUAGAUACAAUCAAGAACACCGAUUGCGUAGGCAGCUAACUAGGCUGUAACUGACGCUGAGGCACGAAAGCGUGGGGAGCGAACAGGAUUAGAUACCCUGGUAGUCC